rnacentral:rRNA from 1 species
CCUACGGGAGGCAGCAGUGAGGAAUAUUGGUCAAUGGACGAGAGUCUGAACCAGCCAAGUAGCGUGAAGGAUGACUGCCCUAUGGGUUGUAAACUUCUUUUAUAUGGGAAUAAAAUGUUACACGUGUGGGAUUUUGUAUGUACCAUAUGAAUAAGGAUCGGCUAACACCGGGCCAGCAGCAGCGGCAAUACGGUGGAGCCGAGCGUUAUCCGGAUUUAUUGGGUUUAAAGGGAACGUAGGUGGAUUGUUAAGUCAGUUGUGAAAGUUUGGGGCUCAACCGUAAAAUUGCAGUUGAAACUGGCAGUCUUGAGUAUAGUAGAGGUGGGCGGAAUUCGUGGUGUAGCGGUGAAAUGCGUAGAGAUCACGAAGAACUCCGAUUGCGAAGGCAGCUCACUGGACUGCAACUGACACUGAGGCUCGAAAGUGUGGGUAUCAAACAGGAUUAGAUACCCUUGUAGUC